rnacentral:rRNA from 1 species
UGGGCCUACGGGGGGCAGCAGUGGGGAAUAUUGCACAAUGGGGGGAACCCUGAUGCAGCGACGCCGCGUGGGUGAAGAAGUCAUUCGUGACGUAAAGCCCUAUCAGCAGGGAAGAAAAUGACGGUACCUGACUAAGAAGCCCCGGCUAACUACGUGCCAGCAGCCGCGGUAAUACGUAGGGGGCGAGCGUUAUCCGGAUUUACUGGGUGUAAAGGGAGCGUAGACGGUUCUGCAAGUCUGAAGUGAAAGCCCGUGGCUUAACCGCGGAACGGCUUUGGAAACUGUGGAACUGGAGUGCUGGAUAG